rnacentral:rRNA from 1 species
AACGGGUGAGUAACACGUGAGUAACCUGCCCCCUUCUUCUGGAUAACCGCAUGAAAGUGUGGCUAAUACGGGAUAUUCUGGGUCUGUCGCAUGGUGGGCCUGGGAAAGAUUGCGCUUUUUUGGUGUUUUUGGUGGGGGAUGGGCUCGCGGCCUAUCAGCUUGUUGGUGGGGUGAUGGCCUACCAAGGCGGUGACGGGUAGCCGGCCUGAGAGGGUGGACGGUCACACUGGGACUGAGACACGGCCCAGACUCCUACGGGAGGCAGCAGUGGGGAAUAUUGCACAAUGGGCGCAAGCCUGAUGCAGCGACGCCGCGUGAGGGAUGGAGGCCUUCGGGUUGUGAACCUCUUUCGCCAGUGAAGCAGGCCUGCCUCGUUUGUGGGUGGGUUGACGGUAGCUGGAUAAGAAGCGCCGGCUAACUACGUGCCAGCAGCCGCGGUAAUACGUAGGGCGCGAGCGUUGUCCGGAAUUAUUGGGCGUAAAGAGCUCGUAGGCGGCUGGUCGCGUCUGUCGUGAAAUCCUCUGGCUUAACUGGGGGCUUGCGGUGGGUACGGGCCGGCUUGAGUGCGGUAGGGGAGACUGGAACUCCUGGUGUAGCGGUGGAAUGCGCAGAUAUCAGGAAGAACACCGGUGGCGAAGGCGGGUCUCUGGGCCGUUACUGAC